GCCUAAGCAGAGCUGCGAAACGAGUUGCUGAUUGGGUUGUUGAGCUGUAACAAAAACCGAAUAUGCAAACAUUAUUAACUUAAAGAGAAAAAAAAGAAGGAAAGAGAAGUCAAUGCAUUCAAGGACCUUAAUACUUUAGCUUUCUGGAAUGGAAUAUUCAUGUUGGGAAUUUACGCGAGGCUCAAAUUUAAUCGCGGCUCUUCAGGUUGACAUACUUUCAAUGGAGUUACAAUAAAAGCAACGAAAAUGGUAGACCAGUUUGUUAGAUUUCUGCAAUACAUGGAACCGGCAUUUUCGAUGUCACGAUGCCUCUUGUACAUACAUAUACUUGGAUUGUAUAAAACAGGAAAAUUCGAUGACUUACCAUAAAUAGAAACACAAAGUAGUGCGAAUGUCGCUGCGGCAACCCACGAGACUCCCGCGAACAUCUUGGUGACACGUUGCUGUCGAUCCGCAAGAAGCAGCGACUAUUAGCACACUGUGCUUGUUGACUGACGCGAGAUGAUCCGCGCUUUCGGACCGUCCUCGACGAUCGCUUUCUUAUAUAGAGAUAGCGGCCGCCUGAUGGAAGCGAAGAUAGGCAGCGAGGAUAUGAAGGCACGAGGAGAGCGGGGAAAAGAAAAGGGUUUCAGAGACAGAGUUGUAACCGAAGGCCGAGGAUUUCAUCGUUGUGGUCGUCGUCAUUCGCAUCAAAGAAAAAAAAGAAAAGAAAUUCCGAAGACAAAAGUCGAUAGUGGUCAGAGGAGUACCUAAAAGAGAUACUCUGUCCUUCAGUACAAAUCUAAGAUCGCUGCUGAUUAACUCAACAAAUAAGAGUUUUUUAUUGGCAGUAGAGGUACGUGUUCUAGGAAUAAAUAAUCUUUUAAACAUCAAAAACUUGGUUUUAAAUAGUUUUAACAUUCUGAGAAAUUAAAUCGUUUUCGAUCUUUCCGCAAAUUUUGUCUAAUUUUUAUAUUGAAUUGCAAUCUUUUAUAGUCUCUUCGUAUAUUUUAUUUAUGAUUUAUAAGCGAUUUAUAAAGUUGUUAAAAUAGCUAUAGAUAAUAGUGUUUGCGUAUCUGCAUCAAUCAUGUAAGAAAUAAUCGUAAUAUAAAAAUAGUGAUCC